rnacentral:misc_RNA from 1 species
UAAACAUACUACUAAACUAUAAAAUUACAUUUGUUAAAACUUUUUUUUAUAUUUUCAGAAAUAAAUGUUGAUUAAGCCCCUUCUGUUCUUCUAAAGUCAGAAAAAUGGUUCUGGAGGUGGUUAAGCCUGGUUGGGUGGAUGGAGAAGAUUUCCCAAUAUUCUCUGUAGAUAUUCAUCCUCAGGGGAAUAAGUUUGCUACAGGGGGACAGGGAAGUGACUGUGGUAGGAUCGUGAUAUGGAAUAUGGAACCUAUUAGAAAUCAGAAACUGCAAGAUGAUCCCACAGUACACAAACAACUUUGUCAAAUGGAAAACCAUCUUGCGUGCGUCAACUGCGUCAGAUGGUCGGGAGACGGGAAGUAUCUGGCUAGCGCGGGGGAUGACAAACUAGUAAUGUUAUGGACCCGAAAUAUGUACGGUGGUGGAGCAGUUUUUGGAGGGGGAGGGAAGGUCAAUCAUGAAAGCUACAGAUGUGCGCACACCCUCCGUCAGCACGAUGGUGAUGUACUGGACCUUGCCUGGGGUCCCGGGGACAAGUGGCUGGCCAGCGCUAGUGUAGAUAACUCUGUUAUUGUCUGGGACGUCUCAGGUAUUGGGUCUCCAACCAGUGUUGCUGUACUACGAGGGCAUACUGGACACGUCAAGGGUGUUACUUGGGAUCCCGUAGGGAAAUAUUUAGCCUCUCAGAGUGCUGAUAAAACUCUCAGGGUUUGGAGAACUGGAGACUGGAAGGAAGAAGCAGUGGUUAAAGAACCAUUCCAGGACUGCGGCGGAACGACCCAUGUUCUUCGGCUGGACUGGUCGCCGGAUGGUCAGUAUUUGGUAUCCGCCCACGCCAUGAAUGGCGGAGGUCCAACCGCCCAGAUAAUUGAACGAGACGGGUUCAAGUUUGAAAAGGAUUUUGUGGGGCACAGGAAAGCUGUCACCUGUAUUCGAUUCAACUCUAAUAUAUUUCAACGAAAAUCCUCGAAAGGGAACGGAAAUUAUGCUUGUGUAGCAAUAGGUUCGCGUGACCGUUCAGUAUCUGUUUGGUUGACCUCACUAAAGCGCCCUCUUUUCGUUUGUCACGAUCUCUUCGAAUCCUCCAUCCUGGAUCUAGCGUGGAGUAAGGACGGGAUGACUCUCAUAGCUUGUAGUAUGGACGGACAUAUUGCCAGCUUUAAUUUUUCCGGCAAAGAUAUCGGAACUCCAAUGUCGAUUUCGGAUAAAAACCAACUUUUCAAAAAGUUGUACGGCCGUACCUCCGGAAUUGCCGUCGCUGACAAACCUGUAUUAAUCGAGAAUGCGGAACUUUUGAAGCUUAACAGUGAUUCUGACGCGUUGGGGGAUUUUUCCGAUACAUUCACUGACAAAUCGUCAACUUGGUCGCCGAUAAAAGGCCCGACAGAUAAACAGAUUGAGGUAAAGACAAGUGACGGUCGUCGACGAAUAACGCCGAUGUUUAUCCCCCCUACCCUCGAGGGGGACUGGUCUCGAAACUCCACGAUGUCCUCGGAUGGCACAAUGGGGAUGGGACGGAUGAUCUCAAGCUCCAGCUCCGAACCCAAAUCUAGAAUCAAGAUUGAACGACGGGACGGAGUUGUUGAACCGAACGUGAGUCCCGGGAAAAAGGAACCGGAUGUGAAGAAGGAUGCGGAAGCUAAGAAGGAACCGGAAGUGAUAAAACCAAACAUGAUUCCGGUCAAGAGGAAAGUUGGAAAUGUUAUGGUUCAAGUAACUACAAGUGUACCAUCGUCCACAACAUCAACUGUAACAGCAACAGCACCAGCUGUUGUUAUUGGAACUACUUCCCAUUCUUUAUCUAACGGACUUAAAACGAAGGUGGAGGAAAAAACAAAGAAAGAUGUGAAUGAGGAGAAGGGAAAGGGGGAAAAGGAUGAGGAAAAGGGCAAAGGGGAGAAGGAUGAGGAUAAAGAUAAAGAAAAGGACGACGAGAAGAUCAAGGGUAAAAAGCCGUCAAAUCGUAUUGAAUCCUCAAGCGAUUCUUCAGAUUCAGACUCAUCAGACUCUGAUUCGUCUGAGAGCUCAUCGGAUGAUGAUGAAACGGCGGGAAGUCAGACGGAAAAAUCUGGGAAAUCAGAAACUGAAGACAAGAAGAAAACCUCCCUGGUCUCCUCUGUUGUUGGAUCAAAAAGAAAAGGCGAAGAUUUGUCCACUCAGCAUCCUGCCAAGAAACGAGGACGACCGGUGACCGUGACCGGGCCUUCUCGUUCUAGGGAAACUGACAGUGGUCAGUCAACACCGGUCACCAAGCAUAUAGAAGUAGUUGCAGCCCCUGCACCAGUAGUUCAACCUGUUCUACCUCUUCACCCACAGCGAGUACCAGCAUCACCAACCCGAGCAUAUCCUGGUCUUCCCCCCCGCACCAUACCUAGGAAUCCGUACUAUCUACAGGCAAAAGCAGGGGAUAAAGUACUUCACGUUCAUGUCCAGAAUGAGUAUGAGAAGUAUGUGGGUGGGUAUGUACACAGGACUGCAGUACACACUGGGGAGAGUGCUAGUUCUUCUCUACUCUGGGAAUCCUUGUUCACGGCACCAGUCGCAGGUGUUGUAUGCGGGGGAAAUCUAGUUUUAAUCGUCUGUAAGGAUGCAACUAUUCACAUUUUUAAUACUGACGGCUCACGCGCCCUUCCCGUCCUUAGUCUCCCAGCGCCCCCGCACAAGCUCAAGAGCGAGAACGCGCUUGUUACGUGCGUGACUACUAGUGGACUAAUGUUCUUGUGGAAUAUGGCCGGUGUUCCGAUCAAGGCUGUUCUGAGUAAUUUGGAAAUAUCUCCGUUAAACAAACACACAACUCCCAGGACAUCUGUAUCUAUCAGCUCUAUUAAAUAUUCUGGAUCAGAUCCUGUUCUCUGUCUUUCAGACGGAUCCUCACACACAUACUCUCAGGAUAUAGGAUGUUGGCUUCAGCUGACCCACUCAAGACAGGCGCUGUCCUUGUCCACAGCAAUGUCUAAGGGUCCUCCAGCUACUCUGCCAUUAGCCUCCCUCUCCUCUUACCCUUCAGGGAUGAGCAAACUUGAUGCCGUGACUGGAGGGAUCUGGACAAUAUCUGUAAUUGAGACGAGGUUAUCCUCGAGUAUAUACCUUAAAUCCUCCCAGGAGUAUCGAUAUUGGUUGCUCAGUCUGGUAAAACAGUUGACCCUGCAGGGUCAAGAAGCGCGCCUACGAUGUAUUCUAGAUGACCUGCUAGCUAGUACCUGCCGGGCGAACUCUGUAGGCUCCAACGCUGAACUGUUAGGGUUAAAGAGAGAUAUACUGUUCAAGGAAAUGUUACCUCUACUAGGAUCUAAUCUUACUCUACAGAGAUUAUACACUGAGUACAGGAACCAUGCUGAGCUGAAGAAAACGGGCUCCGUCGACUUAUUUUCCUAGUCUGUUAUGCUUAUGCCUGAAAACUGUACUGUUGAGUGUUAACAGCUUUUUUCCCGGAUUCUGAACUUGACUUUAUAUAACACAUCAUUAGAAAUAAAAAUCUCCUUUUAUUCUCAGAUUCAAUAAAGACGAACCAUUGAACCCAGAAUCCUAGGGUUGUUAGUAGCUAUGAAUGAAUAUGUUUAUAAAACUUUUUUUUCAAACAUACGUUAAUAAGUCGUCAUGUUUUGUAAACCCCUCUUUUGAUCUAAAGUCCUGCGUGAUAUUUAUUUUGUACCUGCUUUGAAAUCCUCUAAUUCUGAAACCGUUUUCAGAAAA